CUUACACGCAUUGCUCGUCCUUCUAGUUCCACUCCAUUAAGAGACUCGAGGGCAUUUUCCAUCUCUGAUCGGGUUGAGUAGCACACAAAACCAUAACCUCGCGACCUUCCGGUCUCCCCAUCGUAUAGAACUCUUGCUCCAACCACAUUUCCAUAUUCUNNNNNNAUUCUUGAAAAGCUUGUGUCAAACUUUCUGAUGUUACUGACCAGGAUAAAUUCCCAAUAAAAAGCUUGUGUUCUGUUUCUGGAUAUAAAGGUUCCUUCGGUUUAG
rnacentral:misc_RNA from 1 species